CCUACGGGAGGCAGCAGUGGGGAAUAUUGGACAAUGGGCGAAAGCCUGAUCCAGCAAUGCCGCGUGAGUGAUGAAGGCCUUAGGGUUGUAAAGCUCUUUUACCAGGGAUGAUAAUGACAGUACCUGGAGAAUAAGCUCCGGCUAACUCCGUGCCAGCAGCCGCGGUAAUACGGAGGGAGCUAGCGUUGUUCGGAAUUACUGGGCGUAAAGCGUACGUAGGCGGUUAUUCAAGUCAGAGGUGAAAGCCUGGAGCUCAACUCCAGAACUGCCUUUGAAACUAGGUAGCUAGAAUCACGGAGAGGUUAGUGGAAUUCCGAGUGUAGAGGUGAAAUUCGUAGAUAUUCGGAAGAACACCAGUGGCGAAGGCGACUAACUGGACGUGUAUUGACGCUGAGGUACGAAAGCGUGGGGAGCAAACAGGAUUAGAUACCCUGGUAGUCCACGCCGUAAACGAUGAUAACUAGCUGUUCGGUCUCUACGAGACUGAGUGGCGCAGCUACGCAUUAAGUUAUCCGUCCGUCGGGUAGGUACGGUCGCGAGAAUUAAACUAACAAUAGAAGUUAGUACGGCGUGAGACGUAGCCGAACGGACGACGACGAGGGAGGUAGG
rnacentral:rRNA from 1 species